rnacentral:rRNA from 1 species
UACGUAGGGUGCAAGCGUUGUCCGGAAUCAUUGGGCGUAAAGGGCGCGUAGGUGGCCCGGUCAGUCUUUGGUGAAAGCGCGGGGCUCAACCCUGCGUCGGCCAGGGAUACUGCCGCGGCUCGAGCACUGUAGAGGCAGGCGGAAUUCCGGGUGUAGCGGUGGAAUGCGUAGAGAUCCGGAAGAACACCGGUGGCGAAGGCGGCCUGCUGGGCAGUUUAGCUGACACUGAGGCGCGACAGCGUGGGGAGCAAACAGG